CAUUCUUUUAGGAAUAUUGAAACAACAUUAUUAAUUGUGGUAAACCUUAUCUGGCAGUACUUAAGAGUGCAUCUUUGACUUUAUUACUCGAGUGAAUGCACCUUCAAACCGGUUUAACACCAACAUGUCACAGUAAUCAAUACCAUCUGUGUUAAGAUGUCGGGAAUGUGUUAGACGAAUGAUUUUGUUUUAUGGAGCUUUGAAGAGCGAUGAAUGGCACUAAAGUGGUGCCAAAUGGAUAUCUCAAACACCCAUUGUUGAUGUGUGAUGCUGAUAAUACAGAGACAGCUAGAGUGACAGAGUUUGAUGAAUAAACUUAAAUUAAAAAACAGAAAUAACCACCAUCUCUCUCAGAGGUCAUCUUUCUCAUUAUUGUGGGAAACCUCAAAGGGCAUCAGGAAAACCUUCAUCAACCUCUUUGUGCCCAGUGGCUUGUGCAACAGUGUUUCAGAAAUUAUCAUUAAAAUGGGGAUAAUGGAUGACUGGCCACACAUAUGGGGCUAUGGACAAGCUUCAGAGCAGGCUGCCAGGUGGUGGUGUUAGUAGUUUAUACUCCGGGUCCCGGCGUGAGCACAUUGAAGGGUCCCAGAGUGAAGGUUCAACCACCCACACCUAUCCUGGGCAGAACCAGUACUAGGUGCCUUCACCUCUGCAAGGAACUGACAGCUUCUGUACAUGCCAGGUGCAGUGGUACAGUGCGAAUGGUCGUAGAAAGGAUUUCAUAACCAAUCACAACAGAGGUCACCUGGUCCGCCCGGGAAUCGAACCCGGGAUGUCCAAUUCAGAGUCCAACGCUCUACCGAUUGAGCUGACCGGGCGGACAUAUUAGCUACAUUAGAUGACAAGCCAUCUAUGCUGGACAUUCUUCACAAUAAAAUGUGAUGUCACAGGAGCUGUCUAUCUCAACAGCUCACACUGUCCGUAUUUGACUAAAGGAAUGAAUGAAGUCACUGCAGAAGUUAGAUUGAGGAAUGUCCAUGUCACUACCCAUCAUUUGGAAGGAGUUGGAUAAAAAAAGUGUGGCCUAUGUAUUGAAACAGGUCCGAUUUCCAGUUACGGACAGUCUUGAUUUGUCUGAUUACAUUUUUGACCAACAUGAUGGUCUAAAAGAACACUUACUGGUAACUGGUAAAAUCAUGGCCCAGUUGUUCCAAGAGGCAGGCGAGUGGGAAGUUACUAGACUCCAUUUCUUUAUGGGCUGAUCUGAGGUUCCAGUUCAGUUAAAGUACUGAUAGAACACCAAGUGUUUGCCAUAAUACAGCAACAUUUCAUUUGUAACUAUGUAUUUGUUUGAAUUGUUGAAACAGUACUGUUUACUAAAUAAUGUGUAUGUAUAUGAAGAAUAAUAUUAUAAAUAAUUUGUAAGAACCUUUUGAUAUUAAGUAAAAUGUCGAUAAGUCUAAAUAUGUAUCUGCGAAUCAUUUUUGUAUAUCUGUAAAGAUUACAUUGCCUAUAUUCCUCAAUUUAUAUUUUUCUUUUAGCCAGUCAAUAACUUUGUUAAGUUCUAUCUUCAAAAUUGUCGGGACAGGGAUUAUAGCCCUUAAUUAACCCAAAUAUGUAACAUUCAAUGCAAAAUUGGCUGCAAUUAGGCAGUUCAGAUGCAGGAACAAACAUCACUUGGGUCCUUAAUAAUAGCUUUCCAUCUGACAUUGAAGAUCCAAUAAAAGGAAUUUGUCUUGUGACUGUUUAUUAACUCUCAAUUUAUUGAAAGUGAAAUUACUUACAUGAUUUGUAAGAACUAAAUUAUAAUGAUAUCAAAUGAUUGUUUAAAUUAAAUAAAAUAGAUGAUUACAUACAUGAACUAUUUUUAUUUCUUGUUUGUCAAUAUGAAGAGUAAUGCAAUGGCUUUUGAAUUUCAUAAAAAAGGAUGGAAAAAUGUAUGUUUAUUGUUUAAGCAAUUAAUUAAGUAAUAAAAGUUGUUUUUUUUCUUUUUUUCAAAUUGUGCUAUCUUAUAAUACAGAUCGUUAUUUGUUUAAUUUUGGUACAAAUGAAGUAUAUAAGGUAUGUCUAAUGUUACAAAUAGCAAAAAUUCAAAUGCAAAUCAUGGUGACUUGACUAAAUGUGAAUGCUAAUUGAAUCAAAAUAGUUAAUAAAUAAUAAUGUUCA